UUAUAAAAUGAAGUAAAACUAAGAUAAUUAUAAGAGAAGGAAGACUAAGAGAAAAUAGAAUUUUUGACUUUCCAAGUGUUUUAAAUAUCACAUAUUUUAUCUCUAUUUAUAGGCAUAUAUGAGAAGAUAAAGGGUUUAUAAUUAAUGGAUUAUAUAAAGAAGUGCGUAAGUUGAAGAGUAGUAUAUUGAACUUAUGGAGAGAAGUGAAGAGUUAAUCAUUUUAAUGGACAUUCACCAUAAAUAUAUUCAUAAAACUCUCUUUUAGAUGUCCACACAUUAAUAAAAUAAUGUUUCGUUAAAACCUUACUAGAAAAAAAACGUGGAAAAAAAAUCAUAGUAAAG
rnacentral:misc_RNA from 1 species